rnacentral:rRNA from 1 species
GAUGAACGCUGGCUACAGGCUUAACACAUGCAAGUCGAGGGGCAGCACAGUGUAGCAAUACAUGGGUGGCGACCGGCGCACGGGUGCGUAACGCGUAUCCAACCUUCCCGUUACUCAGGGAUAGCCUUCCGAAAGGGAGAUUAAUACCUGAUGGUGUUCAAAUUCCGCAUGUUAUUUGAACUAAAGAUUUAUCGGUAACGGAUGGGGAUGCGUGACAUUAGGUAGAUGGCGGGGUAACGGCCCACCAUGCCUACGAUGUCUAGGGGUUCUGAGAGGAAGGUCCCCCACACUGGAACUGAGACACGGUCCAGACUCCUACGGGAGGCAGCAGUGAGGAAUAUUGGUCAAUGGUCGGAAGACUGAACCAGCCAAGUAGCGUGAAGGAUGAAGGUUCUAUGGAUUGUAAACUUCUUUUAUACGGGAAUAAAACCUCCCACGUGUGGGAGCUUGUAUGUACCGUAUGAAUAAGCAUCGGCUAACUCCGUGCCAGCAGCCGCCGUAAGAC